GGAUUAAUAAUUUUUUUUUCGUCUUUGGCAGAGAUGGGAGUGGGGCGCGGGGUGUGAGAGGGAGAGGGAGUCAUUUCGUCCUUAUACUCCAAAUAAAAAAAUCUCCUAUAGUAUAUAAGAAUAAGUGUACAAUUUACCUAUUUUUACUGCUAAUGUGUUUAAGACAAUGAACAUGCCCAUUGACUAUAUGUCAAAUCCAUUUACCUACACAAAUUAAAAAAAGUAAGAUUAAUUACCUUGCUGAAUUUGUUUCCUUUUUAGGAUAGGAAGAUUUAUUCCCAAUUAGUCCAUUUACCUACACAAAUUAAAAGAAGUAAAAUUAAUUAUCAGACAUAUUGAAUUUAUUUUUUCUUAAGAAUAGAAAGAUUUAUUCUCAUAUAAAAUAUCAUAAUAUACUUUUGGAAAAUGUAUUUGCUCAUUUUAAAUAUAAAUAUGCAUAAGAAAAUCAAAAAUAUGCUUGGCCUCCGCCGUUGUGGUGAUCGCCUUCGCCGCUGCCGCCUAUGGCUCCGUCACCGUGCUCUUUGUCCUCUUCUACGAAAACUUAUAGGUAAACGAAGCCCACAUAUACCUCGAGGCUCGAGUUCGUCGACUUCUAUGAGAGUAAGUAUCGAUUUCUCCAGCGUAACAGCGUCGAAGAGGGAAUCAUAGGGGUCACGCUCCACAGCCGCCGGUGGCACUACAUAGGCGGGAGGAGGUGAGGGCGCGGAGGUGGAUGAGGUGAAG
rnacentral:lncRNA from 1 species